rnacentral:sRNA from 1 species
AAUUAUCUUUAAAUCACACACAUUUCGACACAUGCUCCGGGGUGCCUCAACAAUAAAACUGCUUGUGCUUAAACAAGUAGAUGUUAGGGGUCGGAUUUAUGGGAAAUGUGGAGGCCUAAC